rnacentral:rRNA from 1 species
UACGUAGGGAGCAAGCGUUGUUCGGAUUUACUGGGCGUAAAGGGCGCGUAGGCGGCCUGUCAAGUCAAUUGUGAAAUCUCCGGGCUUAACUCGGAACGGUCAAUUGAUACUGUCAGGCUAGAGUGCAGAAGGGGCAAUCGGAAUUCUUGGUGUAGCGGUGAAAUGCGUAGAUAUCAGGAGGAACACCGGUGGCGAAGGCGGGUCUCUGGGCAGUAACUGACGCUGAGGAGCGAAAGCGUGGGGAGCGAACAGGA